GGUAUGCAAUGCAGUGUUUGUGUAAUCGGAAAUAAAGCUUAUGGUUGUUUCUGAACCCAAUAGAAGUUGAUUAAUUGUGGAGUUUCUAGAUGUGAUACUAUGAUUCUCGGUAACAUUUGUCAUUUCAUCCUUGUGCUUUAUCCUUUUUGGUGGUGGAUUGCUUUCGUACAGGUGUUAUUCUUCGUCCAAAUUCCAAUAUUUUGAACAGAAUUGUGGCUGCUAUAUUUUUAACUAUCCAUCUAUUAUUAUAAGCCAUCUCAAGUGAAACGCUUGUGGGCUUAUCCAAUUCCGACAUGAAAAAGUUAUGUUAUUGUCUUUCGGUGUGAGUAGUGUCUGUCUAGAUAUGCAUCUCAGCUUAUUGGUCUUCUGGGUGCAAUGUUGUAGGUUCUUGAACAAGCUUCGGUUGGAUUGACACAGCAGCAGUUGCUGCUUUAUUAUGUGGAUCGUGAGAGUGGAAGCAUUCUGUACUCCUUAUGUUUGAUAAGGUGGGUGUAGGAUGUAAUUUCACGUUGUAGUGGAUAAUUUCUAGUUUCAACAUUGUUUCUAUAAGGUGUGUUCAUUUUCUUAUAAGCCAUCUGUUGAUACAAUUCAUGAUCUUGAGGGUGAUCAGAAAUUGGAAUAUGAUUCCCCUUCUUCUCAUACUCAUACCUA
rnacentral:lncRNA from 1 species